GCACGACGUGAGGCGGCUCGCCUCAGACGGAGGCUCUUCUUGCCCCUGUGCUGUGGGAGGACGAGCACAAGCUGGGAAGGAUGUCUUUGCUGCCAGCGCCCCGCAGGGUGAGCCAGCCAUCCCUGGUGACAUCAUGGUUUCUGAGUGAAUGUUUACUUCUGAAGCUGCAAAAUAAUCUAAACUUUCAGCCCCGACUUCUCCCCAGAGGGCGGCUGCGUCCUGUGAAUUCGGCCAAAACGGAACUCACACCCCUGCUCAUUAAGGGAGCGAUGAUCGAGGGGACCCGCAAGCCGCCUCCCUUGAACUUCCCACCCUGCAUCCCCCCCGUAAACCCCAAGGAAGUCUUAUUUCCAGGAUCUCUCUGUAUCACCUUUGGGAACAAGUGUCACACUGGAUCACAGAGAAUGGGAUGUUCAGGAGGAGUCACAGGUGGCAGCUGACAGCCGUCUUCAAACCUUUCAAGCUGUCACAUGAAAGAGGAAUUCAACUUGCCCUGUGUGGCUCCAGAAGGCAAAACAACAGGUAGAAGUCACUGUGAGGCCAACUGUGGCUCAAUAAAGUAACUUUUCUAAAAUCGUAUGGGCUUUAGCAAGCUGCAGGUUUCUGUCCCUGGAUGCGUUCAUGCUGAGGGUGAUGUUUUGUGUUUAGCUAAGGGUGUUGUGACUCUCACAGAAGAGUCUGAUUGGCUUAGGUCCCUUCCAUCCUCCACGGCCUAUGAUUCUAUGAAACCUGUGCCUGGAGCAUGCAAAGGAAAGCUAGAAGCUGAUUCCAAAACAAAAAGAGAUUUGUUUUUAAAUAUAAG
rnacentral:lncRNA from 1 species